rnacentral:misc_RNA from 1 species
GAGUUCCUGAGCAAUGGAACUUUAGCAAGCUUUCUUUUUGGGGACUUGAAACCUGAUUGGAACCUAAGAACCGAAAUUUCUCUAGGCAUUGCUAGAGGACUUUCGUAUUUGCAUGAAGAAUGCAGCAUCCAGAUUAUACAUUGUGAUAUAAAGCCCCAAAAUAUCCUUCUUGAUGACGAUUACAAUACAAGAAUUUCUGAUUUUGGAUUGGCAAAAAUUUACUCUCGAAGUCAAAGCGCAGUGUUGAUGACAAAUGCAAAGGGAACCAUUGGCUAUAUUGCUCCGGAGAUUUUCAUGAGAAAUUUUGGGAAUGCUUCUCAUAAGUCUGAUGUUUAUAGCUUUGGGAUGCUGCUACUAGAGAUGUUCGAAGGGAAGAAUCGUAUCGAACCAGGCACAACCACUUCGAGCGAAGCAUACUUCCCAAGUUGCAUCUAUAAGCUGGUUGAGCAGAAAAACUUGGAGUCUUAUGAACAUGAGGAUGCUAACAUAGUAACGAAGAUGGUUUUGGUAGGCCUAUGGUGCAUUCAAAUAAACCCUAAAGAACGUCCCUCGAUGACAAGGGUGUUGGAGAUGUUAACUGGGGAUGCAGAUGCCAUUGAAGUGCCUCCAAAGCCUUUCUUGUUUUCUCCUCCUCGAUUGCAACAUGAGAUUGACAUUGCCUCCAUUGGUGAAAGUGAUAUCAGUGAAUUGGAUUUCGCAUCAAACAGUUUCGAGAUGGAGAAUACAUCAACAGAUCACGCAAGCUUAGGGUGCUGAAAAGUCUUGCCAUGGAGGAUCCAUGAGGGAAAUGCAAUGGAAGUAGACGCGUUUUGUGGUGAAGAAAGUGAAAACAUGUUGUUAGGUUAAAGCCAAUUUGUUGUGCCAUAUUCGAUCUCUUUGGUUUUGUUUUGGAUAUGGUGUUAAUUGUUGAUUCCAUCCCUCUGCAUUUACAAAUUGUGAAGAACUUAUGUAUAUAUUAUUCAGGGCCUUGUACCCGGAAAAAUAUACAUGAAGCACAGUUGCU